CUACGGGUUGCUGCAGUGGGGAAUAUUGCACAAUGGAGGAAACUCUGAUGCAGCAACGCCGCGUGGAGGAUGACACUUUUCGGAGCGUAAACUCCUUUUAUAUAGGAAGAAGAUGACGGUACUAUAUGAAUAAGCGCCGGCUAACUCCGUGCCAGCAGCCGCGGUAAUACGGAGGGCGCAAGCGUUACUCGGAAUCACUGGGCGUAAAGAGCGUGUAGGCGGAUUAAAAAGUCAGAAGUGAAAUCCUAUAGCUUAACUAUAGAACUGCUUCUGAAACUCUUAAUCUAGAAGAUGGGAGAGGUAGAUGGAAUUUCUGGUGUAGGGGUAAAAUCCGUAGAGAUCAGAAGGAAUACCGAUUGCGAAGGCGAUCUACUAGAACAUUAUUGACGCUGAGACGCGAAAGCGUGGGGAUCAAACAGGAUUAGAUACCCUCGUAGUC
rnacentral:rRNA from 1 species